rnacentral:rRNA from 1 species
UGGCGGACGGGUGAGUAACGCGUGGAAAACCUGCCGUAUACUGGGGGAUAACACUUAGAAAUAGGUGCUAAUACCGCAUAAGCGCACAGCUUCGCAUGAAGCGGUGUGAAAAACUCUGGUGGUAUACGAUGGUUCCGCGUCUGAUUAGCUAGUUGGUGGGGUAAUGGCCUACCAAGGCAACGAUCAGUAGCCGGCCCGAGAGGGUGAACGGCCACAUUGGGACUGAGACACGGCCCAAACUCAUACGGAAGGCAGCAG